CUACGUGCCAGCAGCCGCGGUAAUACGUAGGUGGCAAGCGUUGUCCGGAAUUAUUGGGCGUAAAGCGCGCGCAGGCGGAUCGGUCAGUCUGUCUUAAAAGUUCAGGGCUUAACCCCGUGAUGGGAUGGAAACUGCCAAUCUAGAGUAUCGGAGAGGAAAGUGGAAUUCCUAGUGUAGCGGUGAAAUGCGUAGAUAUUAGGAAGAACACCAGUGGCGAAGGCGACUUUCUGGACGAAAACUGACGCUGAGGCGCGAAAGCCAGGGGAGCGAACGGGAUUAGAUACCCCGGUAGUCCUGGCCGUAAACGAUGGGUACUAGGUGUAGGAGGUAUCGACCCCUUCUGUGCCGGAGUUAACGCAAUAAGUACCCCGCCUGGGGAGUACGACCGCAAGGUUGAAACUCAAAGGAAUUGACGGGGGCCCGCACAAGCGGUGGAGUAUGUGGUUUAAUUCGACGCAACGCGAAGAACCUUACCAGGU
rnacentral:rRNA from 1 species